rnacentral:rRNA from 1 species
UGCAGUCGNNCGGCAGCACGGAGCUUGCUCUGGUGGCGAGUGGCGAACGGGUGAGUAAUGCGUCGGAACGUAUCCAAUAAUGGGGGAUAACGCAGCGAAAGCUGUGCUAAUACCGCAUACGCCCUCCGGGGGAAAGCAGGGGAUCGUAAGACCUUGCGUUAAUGGAGCGGCCGACGUCUGAUUAGCUAGUUGGUAGGGUAAAGGCCUACCAAGGCGACGAUCAGUAGCUGGUCUGAGAGGAUGAUCAGCCACACUGGGACUGAGACACGGCCCAGACUCCUACGGGAGGCAGCAGUGGGGAAUUUUGGACAAUGGGCGCAAGCCUGAUCCAGCCAUUCCGCGUGAGUGAAGAAGGCCUUCGGGUUGUAAAGCUCUUUCAGGAGGGAAGAAACGAUUGUGGCUAAUACCCAUGAUUAAUGACGGUACCUUCAGAAGAAGCACCGGCUAACUACGUGCCAGCAGCCGCGGUAAUACGUAGGGUGCGAGCGUUAAUCGGAAUUACUGGGCGUAAAGCGUGCGCAGGCGGUUUUUCAAGUCUGAUGUGAAAUCCCCGGGCUUAACCUGGGAACUGCGUUGGAAACUGAAAGACUAGAGUGCGGCAGAGGGGGGUAGAAUUCCACGUGUAGCAGUGAAAUGCGUAGAUAUGUGGAGGAAUACCGAUGGCGAAGGCAGCCCCCUGGGUCGACACUGACGCUCAUGCACGAAAGCGUGGGUAGCAAACAGGAUUAGAUACCCUGGUAGUCCACGCCCUAAACGAUGUCAACUAGUUGUUGGGGANGGAGANCUCCUUAGUAACGCAGCUAACGCGUGAAGUUGACCGCCUGGGGAGUACGGUCGCAAGAUUAAAACUCAAAGGAAUUGACGGGGGCCCGCACAAGCGGUGGAUUAUGUGGAUUAAUUCGAUGCAACGCGAAAAACCUUACCUACCCNU